AUUGAACGCUGGCGGCAGGCCUAACGCAUGCAAGUCGAACGGUAACAGGAAGCAGCUUGCUGCUUCGCUGACGAGUGGCGGACGGGUGAGUAAUGUCUGUGAAACUGCCUGAUGGAGGGGGAUAACUACUGGAAACGGUAGCUAUUACCGCAUAACGUCGCAAGACCAAAGAGGGGGACCUUAUGGCCUCUUGCCCUCUUAUGUGCCCAGAUGGGAUUAGCUAGUAGGUGGGGUAACGGCUCACCUAGGCGACGAUCCCUAGCUGGUCUGAGAGGAUGACCAGCCACACUGGAACUGAGACACGGUCCAGACUCCUACGGGAGGCAGCAGUGGGGAAUAUUGGACAAUGGGCGCAAGCCUGAUGCAGCCAUGCCGCGUGCAUGAAGAAGGCCUUCGGGUUGUAAAGUACUUUCAGCGGGGAGGAAGGGAGUAAAGUUAAUACCUUUGCUCAUUGACGUUACCCGCAGAAGAAGCACCGGCUAACUCCGUG
rnacentral:rRNA from 1 species